UACGGAGGGUGCAAGCGUUAUCCGGAUUCACUGGGUUUAAAGGGUGCGUAGGAGGGCAGGUAAGUCCGUGGUGAAAUCUCCGAGCUUAACUCGGAAACUGCCGUGGAUACUACCGGUCUUGAAUAUCGUGGAGGUGAGCGGAAUAUGUCAUGUAGCGGUGAAAUGCUUAGAGAUGACAUAGAACACCCAUUGCGAAGGCAGCUCACUACCCGAAUAUUGACUCUGAGGCACGAAAGCGUGGGGAGCGAACAGG
rnacentral:rRNA from 1 species